rnacentral:tRNA from 1 species
GGAAUCUUUCUUCUUUCUAAGGACA